rnacentral:rRNA from 1 species
UUUUUUUUUUCCGUAGGGKGAACYUGCGGAGGGAUCAUUACACAAAUAUGAAGGCGGGCUGGAAUCUCUCGGGGUUACAGCCUUGCUGAAUUAUUCACCCUUGUCUUUUGCGUACUUCUUGUUUCCUUGGUGGGUUCGCCCACCACUAGGACAAACAUAAACCUUUUGUAAUUGCAAUCAGCGUCAGUAACAAAUUAAUAAUUACAACUUUCAACAACGGAUCUCUUGGUUCUGGCAUCGAUGAAGAACGCAGCGAAAUGCGAUAAGUAGUGUGAAUUGCAGAAUUCAGUGAAUCAUCGAAUCUUUGAACGCACAUUGCGCCCUUUGGUAUUCCAAAGGGCAUGCCUGUUCGAGCGUCAUUUGUACCCUCAAGCUUUGCUUGGUGUUGGGCGUCUUGUCUCUAGCUUUGCUGGAGACUCGCCUUAAAGUAAUUGGCAGCCGGCCUACUGGUUUCGGAGCGCAGCACAAGUCGCACUCUCUAUCAGCAAAGGUCUAGCAUCCAUUAAGCCUUUUUUCAACUUUUGACCUCGGAUCAGGUAGGGAUACCCGCUGAACUUAAGCAUAUCAUARGCGGGAGGAA